rnacentral:rRNA from 1 species
GACGAACGCUGGCGGCGUGCUUAACACAUGCAAGUCGAACGGAAAGGCCCUGCUUUUGUGGGGUGCUCGAGUGGCGAACGGGUGAGUAACACGUGAGUAACCUGCCCUUGACUUUGGGAUAACUUCAGGAAACUGGGGCUAAUACCGGAUAGGAGCUCCUGCUGCAUGGUGGGGGUUGGAAAGUUUCGGCGGUUGGGGAUGGACUCGCGGCUUAUCAGCUUGUUGGUGGGGUAGUGGCUUACCAAGGCUUUGACGGGUAGCCGGCCUGAGAGAGUGACCGGCGACAUGGGGAGUGAGAGACGGCGCAGAGUCCUACAGGGGAGAGCGGUGGGGAGUAUGGCACAAAGGGGGGGAGCGUGAGGCGGCGAAGCGGCGUGCGGGAUGACGGGCUUCUGGGGUUAAACCGCUUUCGCGUGUGACGAAGCGGGUGUGACGGUAAAAGGUAGAGAAGCACCGGCUAGCUACGUG